rnacentral:rRNA from 1 species
AAUGAACGCUGGCGGCGUGCCUAACACAUGCAAGUCGGAUGUGCCGCCAGGUGCAUGGCCGACGGGUGCGUAACGCGUAGGGAAUCUACCUUUUUGUGGGGAAUAACGCUCCGAAAGGAGUGGUAAUACCGCAUGAGACCGUGAGCUGGGAUGUUCACGGUGAAACCUGGGGACCGCAAGGCCUGGGGCAAAAAGAGGAUCCUGCGUCUGAUUAGCUAGUUGGCGGGGUAAUGGCCCACCAAGGCGACGAUCAGUAGCCGGCCUGAGAGGGUGAUCGGCCACACUGGAACUGAGACACGGUCCAGACUCCUACGGGAGGCAGCAGUGGGGAAUUUUGCGCAAUGGACGAAAGUCUGACGCAGCAACGCCGCGUGGGUGAUGAAGGUCUUCGGACUGUAAAACCCUGUCGUCAGGGACGAAGGUGGCAGUGUUAAUAGCGCUGUUACUUGACGGUACCUGGAGAGGAAGCCCCGGCUAACUCUGUG